AGUGAACGCUGGCGAUAGGCCUAACACAUGCAAGUCGAACGGCAGCACAGUAAGAGCUUGCUCUUACGGGUGGCGAGUGGCGGACGGGUGAGGAAUACAUCGGAAUCUACUUUUUCGUGGGGGAUAACGUAGGGAAACUUACGCUAAUACCGCAUACGACCUACGGGUGAAAGCAGGGGAUCUUCGGACCUUGCGCGAUUGAAUGAGCCGAUGUCGGAUUAGCUAGUUGGCGGGGUAAAGGCCCACCAAGGCGACGAUCCGUAGCUGGUCUGAGAGGAUGAUCAGCCACACUGGAACUGAGUCACGGUCCAGACUCCUACGGGAGGCAGCAGUGGGGAAUAUUGGACAAUGGGCGCAAGCCUGAUCCAGCCAUACCGCGUGGGUGAAGAAGGCCUUCAGGUUGUAAAGCCCUUUUGUUGGGAAAGAAAAGCAGCAGGUUAAUACCCCGCUGUUCUGACGGUACCCAAAGAAUAAGCACCGGCUAACUUCGUG
rnacentral:rRNA from 1 species